AGUAACGCGUGGGAACGUACCCUUCACUACGGAAUAGUCCCGGGAAACUGGGUUUAAUACCGUAUACGCCCUUCGGGGGAAAGAAUUUCGGUGAGGGAUCGGCCCGCGUUAGAUUAGUUAGUUGGUGGGGUAAUGGCCUACCAAGACUACGAUCUAUAGCUGGUUUGAGAGGAUGAUCAGCAACACUGGGACUGAGACACGGCCCAGACUCCUACGGGAGGCAGCAGUGGGGAAUCUUAGACAAUGGGGGCAACCCUGAUCUAGCGAUGCCGCGUGAGUGAUGAAGGCCUUAGGGUCGUAAAGCUCUUUCGCCUGUGAUGAUAAUGACAGUAGCAGGUAAAGAAACCCCGGCUAACUCCGUGCCAGCAGCCGCGGUAAUACGGAGGGGGUUAGCGUUGUUCGGAAUUACUGGGCGUAAAGCGCACGUAGGCGGAUUAGUCAGUCAGAGGUGAAAUCCCAGGGCUCAACCCUGGAACUGCCUUUGAUACUGCUAGUCUUGAGUUCGAGAGAGGUAAGUGGAAUUCCGAGUGUAGAGGUGAAAUUCGUAGAUAUUCGGAGGAACACCAGUGGCGAAGGCGGCUUACUGGCUCGAUACUGACGCUGAGGUGCGAAAGUGUGGGGAGCAAACAGGAUUAGAUACCCUGGUAGUCCACACCGUAAACGAUGAAUGCCAGUCGUCGGGUAGCAUGCUAUUCGGUGACACACCUAACGGAUUAAGCAUUCCGCCUGGGGAGUACGGUCGCAAGAUUAAAACUC
rnacentral:rRNA from 1 species